rnacentral:rRNA from 1 species
GAUGAACGCUGGCGGCGUGCCUAAUACAUGCAAGUCGAGCGAAUGGAUUAAGAGCUUGCUCUUAUGAAGUUAGCGGCGGACGGGUGAGUAACACGUGGGUAACCUGCCCAUAAGACUGGGAUAACUCCGGGAAACCGGGGCUAAUACCGGAUAACAUUUUGAACCGCAUGGUUCGAAAUUGAAAGGCGGCUUCGGCUGUCACUUAUGGAUGGACCCGCGUCGCAUUAGCUAGUUGGUGAGGUAACGGCCCACCAAGGCAACGAUGCGUAGCCGACCUGAGAGGGUGAUCGGACACACUGGGACUGAGACACGGCCCAGACUCCUACGGGAGGCAGCAGUAGGGAAUCUUCCGCAAUGGACGAAAGUCUGACGGAGCAACGCCGCGUGAGUGAUGAAGGCUUUCGGGUCGUAAAACUCUGUUGUUAGGGAAGAACAAGCGCUAGUUGAAUAAGCUGACACCUUGACGGUACCUAACCAGAAAGCCACGGCUAACUACGUGCCAGCCGCCGCGGUAA